rnacentral:rRNA from 1 species
UACGUAGGGUGCGAGCGUUGCCCGGAUUUAUUGGGCGUAAAGGGCGCGUAGGCGGUCACGCACGUCCGUUGUGAAAUCGCUCGGCUCAACUGGGCGGGGUCAGCGGAUACGGCGUGGCUGGAGCAAGCUAGGGGGCAAUGGAAUUCCCGGUGUAGUGGUGGAAUGCGUAGAUAUCAGGAGGAACACCGGUGGCGAAGGCGGAUCUCUGGGCCGAUACUGACGCUGAGGAGCGAAAGCGUGGGGAGCGAACAGG